UACGAAGGGGGCUAGCGUUGCUCGGAAUCACUGGGCGUAAAGCGCACGUAGGCGGACUUUUAAGUCAGGGGUGAAAUCCUGGAGCUCAACUCCAGAACUGCCUUUGAUACUGGAAGUCUUGAGUCCGGAAGAGGUAAGUGGAACUGCGAGUGUAGAGGUGAAAUUCGUAGAUAUUCGCAAGAACACCAGUGGCGAAGGCGGCUUACUGGUCCGGCACUGACGCUGAGGUGCGAAAGCGUGGGGAGCAAACAGG
rnacentral:rRNA from 1 species